rnacentral:rRNA from 1 species
CGAAAGCCUGACGGAGCAAUACCGCGUGAAGGAUGAAGGCCUAUGGGUCGUAAACUUCUUUUCUCAGAGAAGAAUUUUGACGGUAUCUGAGGAAUAAGCAUCGGCUAACUCUGUGCCAGCAGCCGCGGUAAUACAGAGGAUGCAAGCGUUAUCCGGAAUGAUUGGGCGUAAAGCGUCUGUAGGUGGUUUGACAAGUCUUCUGUCAAAGAUCAGGGCUUAACCCUGGGCAGGCAGGAGAAACUAUCAGGCUUGAGUUCGGUAGGGGCAGAGGGAAUUCCCGGUGGAGCGGUGAAAUGCGUAGAUAUCGGGAGGAACACCAA